GGACGUGAUCCUACAAAUCCAGAUCAGUUAUGCUCUCAGGCGGCUACAGAGCGUCUGGCGGCAUAUGGUGACCAAAUGAUUGCUCGCCAUGGAGAGGGUUAUGAUUGGAGAAACGCGCCUAUUGAUCCUGAGGCCGUUUACAGUAGUGGUGGUGGAAAACCUCAUGGCCGGUAUCCAUUAUUCGACAAAGUCAUUGACUCGAGUCAGGUGCCGUCGCGUCAAAGAGCGGGAUCGUCGCGGUCAGCAAGUCGUAGCACAAGUAGUGGCGACGACAGCGCGGAGGUUGUAAGGCUGCGUGAAAGAGUAA